GUACCGCAAGAAUAAGCCCCGGCUAACUUCGUGCCAGCAGCCGCGGUAAUACGAAGGGGGCUAGCGUUGCUCGGAAUCACUGGGCGUAAAGGGUGCGUAGGCGGGUCUUUAAGUCAGGGGUGAAAUCCUGGAGCUCAACUCCAGAACUGCCUUUGAUACUGAAGAUCUUGAGUUCGGGAGAGGUGAGUGGAACUGCGAGUGUAGAGGUGAAAUUCGUAGAUAUUCGCAAGAACACCAGUGGCGAAGGCGGCUCUCUGGCCCGAUACUGACGCUGAGGCACGAAAGCGUGGGGAGCAAACUGGAUUAGAUACCCUGGCAGUCCACGCCGUAAACGAUGAAUGCCAGCCGUUAG
rnacentral:rRNA from 1 species